rnacentral:rRNA from 1 species
UGGACGAGAGCCUGAACCAGCCAAGUCGCGUGAGGGAAGACGGUCCUAUGGAUUGUAAACCUCUUUUGCCGGGGAGCAAAGAGCGGCACGUGUGCCGCGCCGAGAGUACCCGGAGAAAAAGCAUCGGCUAACUCCGUGCC